rnacentral:lncRNA from 1 species
AAAAGAGGUUAUAUAUAUAUAUAUAUAUAUCGGCUACUAUACUAUUAUGAGUACGAUCGCCCUCGUACUCUUAAGUUGUUUUCGAUGAUAGAGCUUCCGAAUCGACGAUCCACAUCGUUAAACGUUACUUACAGUAUUUAAAACUUCUAAAAAUCAAAUUUUAUAAUUUUUCAACAUCAUUUACCUUACGAUCAAAAGGUCACAAAUUUGACAAUUUUUAACGGCCGGUAUGNAAUUUUGAUAGAAAAUUCUUUAUACUAUAUAAAACAAGAUCAAUAUCUUUGAUUUAAAAUUUUAAUGUCAUAUUAUCACAUUUUAUAAGAUUUUUAUUUUCAGCCGUUGAUUUUGAGCCCCUUCGUUCACUAGGCAAAUGAUAUCGAAAAAUAAUAAAAUUUAUUUUCUAGGUACUCCAAAUACUCUAGAUCAAGUUUAACGGAGCCAAUCGACGAUUUGAAAGUCGCAACAUCGAAAACGAGCUGGAAGCACGGAAGGCUCUAUGCUUCUGAUAGCAUAAUAGCCUCACUCUAUAUAUAUAUAUAUAUAUAUAAAG